rnacentral:rRNA from 1 species
GAUGAACGCUGGCGGCGUGCCUAAUACAUGCAAGUCGAGCGAACGGACGAGAAGCUUGCUUCUCUGAUGUUAGCGGCGGACGGGUGAGUAACACGUGGAUAACCUACCUAUAAGACUGGGAUAACUUCGGGAAACCGUAGCUAAUACCGGAUAAUAUUUUGAACCGCAUGGUUCAAAAGUGAAAGACGGUCUUGCUGUCACUUAUAGAUGGAUCCGCGCUGCAUUAGCUAGUUGGUAAGGUAACGGCUUACCAAGGCAACGAUGCAUAGCCGACCUGAGAGGGUGAUCGGCCACACUGGGACUGAGACACGGUCCAGACUCCUACGGGAGGCAGCAGUAGGGAAUCUUCCGCAAUGGGCGAAAGCCUGACGGAGCAACGCCUCGUGAGUGAUGAAGGUCUUCGGAUCGUAAAACUCUGUUAUUAGGGAAGAACAUAUGUGUAAGUAACUGUGCACAUCUUGACGGUACCUAAUCAGAAAGCCACGGCUAACUACGUG